UAUAGCAUUGUGUGGAAAGCAGCUGGCGAAGAAACACAAUAAAUCUGUGGCGAUUACAGUAUUACAGUGUAUAAGCCUAGAAGUAUUCGGAUUAAUCUAAAAUUGGCAACCAACUCUUAAAUGAUUGAAGGAAGAUGUUUUUCCUUAAAGUUUCACCAAUGCAUGAUGGUUCAAGUGAUCAAAUUAUGCGGAGACAAAGAUGAGAAGGGGAUAGCAAAGCCGUGCCAUUCAAGCAUCGUCAGAGUGAAAACUGCAUGCCGGAAAAACAACUCCGGCAAUCAACUGAUGCCCCGCCCCCAUCGCCCUCUGCACUUUGCUUUUCCUGCUUUUCCUGCUGUUUUUGCUCGUUUGUUAGCACGCUGGAAAAGCUUCGCUUGAUAAGCAUAAGAAAUGGAGGCGAGGGCAGCCAAAGGAAAAGGAAACUAACAGCUGAUAGGACAAACCGGAGGCGCCACAGCCGUAGCUGAAGUCUGUUGCUCCAGUCAAACUUAAGCCGGAAAUUCACUCUAAUAAAGGGGGCUGCCUACGAGACGGAGAAAACCCACCCAUUUGCCCAGUAACACGUACUCCAUUCAUAAGCCAGCAUAACACAUUGCCUGGGAACUUAUUUCUGUAGUUUCUCUACUCACCGAAAGUUAAUUUCCGCUUGGGCGACGCACCUGCAACGAAAACGGAAUGGGCGAAAUCUCUACCACCGCAGGGCAUCCAUUUUAGUGGAUUGCAGGGGCAGGAGGUGCAUUUCUAGGUACCAGCUUCAUUUUGGCGAGCUGUCGCAGUCAACGCAUUUUAAUUCAAUUGAUGUUGAUUAAAAAUUAAUUUCAAAUUAAAUGUGAACUCAAUGAAAUUGUAGUUAAAAAUAGUGGAGAGAAGCGAGAGAGUAGCAGCAAAAAACGUGGCAUUUGACGGGCGGGGAAAAAAGUUGAUUGGAUGGCAAAAAAAAGGGCGAAACUUAAACAGGGCCCAGCACACAUGUGUGUGGGUGAAUUACCAAUACGUAGGCAGGUGAAGCGGAAACGGAAGUUGUUACAAAGUCUGUUGAAAUCAAUUUUAAAAGUAAACUUGUUAGGCGAAAGCCCGAAACAAGAGAAUGGCAACGGAAACCGAGUGGGCUGAGUUGGUCUGAGUUGGCAGCAGGACAAGAAAGGGAAAACUAAUUGCAGCGCUCAUUUUUUGCUUGUUAAUGGGCCUGCAAACGAGCUGCGGGUUUCCCUCCUUCUAUCGAUCCUUGCACACACACACAUGCUCACAUCCCCGUAACACACACACACACACAUGCGUCUCUGGUUGUGCCAUCGAGAAAGUUUUUCUCCCAAUUUUAUUUGCCUCAUUUCGCUGCCAUUGUUGCUGCUCGUUCGAAAUCUGCGUGCGCAAGUAACAACAUUUUACAGCUGCAAUUAAAGUUAGUUGGCUCACCCUCUUGGCCCGCUUUUCCAACAUUCUCCACAACAAGCUAAUGCACUGCACUUUAAUUAACCCAACACCAGGAGAGAAGACCAGAAAUUACACACCCCUCGCCUUCCGCCCAGCUAAUGGCUAUUUAUGUGCGAUAAUUUGCGGUAUGAAAACUAUAAAAGCAAGUGCAACCAGUCGUAUAACAAUCAACUAAAUAAGGAAACACUCCAAAACGAGGGAAUUCAACUCUCCAUUUCAAAAACCAUCGCAUAGGAUAACGAGUGUGAUUUAAGGCAGCAAUAGCUGAACUCAUUUAAGCAAAAGUUGUUCCUUUGGUAUAUAUAAUACUAUGAUUAAUGUGUUUAGGAACUGAAUAAAACUGUUUAUGGUUACUAAAAAAACAGCUAUGUAUGUACAGAACUUUGUAUAUCACUAUUUAUUAAAUAUUUUCCUAGCGCUGAAGUUAACAGGUUUACGUUAAUAUAAAGCACUAGUCACAUAAAGUUUACAAUACAGUAUUCUGUUAUACAAAU